GAUGAAGAACGUAGCGAAAUGCGAUAAGUAAUGUGAAUUGCAGAAUUCAGUGAAUCAUCGAAUCUUUGAACGCACAUUGCGCCCGCCAGUAUUCUGGCGGGCAUGCCUGUUCGAGCGUCAUUACAACCCUCAGGCCCCCGGGCCUGGCGUUGGGGAUCGGCGGAGCCCCCCGUGGGCACACGCCGUCCCCCAAAUGCAGUGGCGGUCCCGCCGCAGCUUCCAUCGCGUAGUAGCUAACACCUCGCGACUGGAGAGCGGCGCGACCACGCCGUAAAACACCCAACUCUUCUGAAGUUGACCUCGAAUCAGGUAGGAAUACCCGCUGAACUUAAGCAUAUCAAUAAGCGGAGGA
rnacentral:misc_RNA from 1 species